UUGAAAUCCACACUUAAUUGCUGUUUCUGACUGUCUUCCUUCAUUUUGCUUUCAAAAGUUGUUUGCCUGAGGAUAUACGUGAUUUGGAUCUUUGUCCUCACUUCCCUGACCUUUCCCUCCUGCUUCCCAGCAGCGCUGCCAGAAUCCCAGGUGGAGGAGCACCACGUAGGAGCCACGUGAAUCAGGUGACAGAUUAUUUGCUCAGGUAUCACUCCCUUUGCCAAGAGACAUUUUACCCCUGGGUAGGUGUGGGGUUCAUCACCUGCUCUGUGAGCACACCAGGAACCAGGUGACUCACGACAUGAAGGAAGUGUUUGCAGUAAGAGUUGGGAACGUGGCAGCCCUUCUCUCCUGGACAAAGUGUUUGGGG
rnacentral:lncRNA from 1 species